rnacentral:rRNA from 1 species
AAGCUGAAAUUAACUAUGCAAACUAACAAAGCAACCCUUAAUACACAGCUUUAGGUUGGGGCGACCACGGAGAAAAAUUAACCCUCCGAGAUGAAUUAGCUAAGAAAAACACAUCAAAGUAACAAAAAUCUUGACAUAUUGACCCAAUACUUGACCAACGAACCAAGUUACCCUAGGGAUAACAGCGCAAUCUUCUCAUAGAGUCCCUAUCGACGAGAAGGUUUACGACCUCGAUGUUGGAUCAGGGCCCCCAAAUGGUGCAGCAGCUAUUAAA